rnacentral:lncRNA from 1 species
UCCUGUGUCAUUAGGUAUCCACUUUACUUUGCACAAACGUGAAUCCUGGCAGUGGGUAUCCCUUCUGUUGUGCAGGGGAAGGCCAGGCUUAUAUUUGAUAAAACACUUUCAGGGCUCACAUGGGUUAGGUCAAUGUGAAGCUGGCUGUGAACAAGAAUCUCCGGGGAAAUUUUUGUUUGUUUUGUUUUUUGAGGAAGAUUGGCUCUGAGCUAACAUCCCUGCCCAUCUUCUUCUACUUUAUAUGUGGGACGCCUGCCACAGCAUGGCUUGAUAAGCAGUGCAUAGGUCUGCACCCGGGAUCCGAAUCAGUGAGCCACUGAAGUGGAGUGUGUGAACUUAACUGCUGAGCCACUGGGCUGGCCCCAGAAAUUUUUUCUUUUAAAAAUGUAGCUCCUGAGAUCCAACAGAGAAUUUCUGAACCAAAAUUCCCUGGGGUGGAUGUAAGAAUCUAAGAGGUCAACUGACCUGUGGACCGGGGUCCGGCAACAAUGGGGCCACAUGGUGCUCAGCUGACCUCCUUGGUAUCUCACCACCAGCAGCUCCAAUGCCCCAUGACUGAGAGGCAUGGCCAGAGGGGCCAUUCUUUAAUGAUCUAGCCAUCUUCUGUCUGUUUUUCUAUCUAUCACCUAUCUACUCAUUGGUCUAUCUGUCUAUCUAUCAUCUACCAGAGAAAAAGAACAAAGAGGAAGAGGAGUGGAAAGGGAAGGGAAAGACGAGGUGAAGGUGAAAAGAGAAGGAGAAAGGAGGAGGAAAGGAGGCAAUCACCGGAAGGUCAUCAGCCAGGUGGAGAGAGACGCUUAACCAGAACUCUCUAGAAGCAAUAAGAGUUGACUCCAUGGUGUAAGAGACUGAGUGAUAAGGAAAAGAUUUUCCACAUAGCCUUGUGAUGGAGUAACCAAAAUGACCUCUAAGGUUUGCCAGAAAAAAGCUAGACCUGCGAAGAAAGGAACGCAUUUUGGGCGGCUCCCCCGUGCUCCUCGGGGCCACAAGUACUCGAGGAAGUGACUGUUCCCUGGGUGGUGGCCAGACGCUCGGCUCCCAGGAGUCCGGCCGCCCUGAGGGCGGGGCCGGGAGGUGGAUGGACCGGAAGACCGCGCGUCUAGGGAGACUGAGUCACGUCCGGGUCAGAGCACGCGGCUUGACAGCCGGGGGAACGAAAUGCUGGUCUGGGGCGGAAUUUGAACUUUAGGUGGUUAAUUUCUACAGGCAAGAUCUCUGCUCCAUCUCGCGUCCUAAGAAAGGAGGGGUGUGUUUCUAAGCACAUACAGGCGCUCACACACUUUGCUGAUGUAUAUUCUCUACGUGCCUAAGCAUUGUAAUUUAGAUUUUGAUCUAGAAAAUUAAAAAUAAACGUCUAAGAGUUCCAUGCCA